rnacentral:rRNA from 1 species
CAAAGUUUGCACCGCCCUGCCCGUUCGACCGAAUUCUUCCGGGUUGAUCCUGGCAGAGGGUUACUGCUAUCGAGAUUUCGACUAAGCCAUGCGAGUUGAAUGUUCUUCGUGAACAUGGCGGACUGCUCAGUAACACGUGGACAACCUACCCUUGGGUCUGGCAUAAUCCUGGGAAACUGGGGAUAAUUCCGGAUAGGCCACAGAUGCUGGAAUGCGCUGUGGCCGAAAGCUCCGGCGCCCAAGGAUGGGUCUGCGGCCUAUCAGGGUUGUAGUGGGUGUAAUGUACCUACUAGCCUACGACGGGUACGGGUUGUGAGAGCAAGAGCCCGGAGAUGGAUUCUGAGACACGAAUCCAGGCCCUACGGGGUGCAGCAGGCGCGAAAACUUUACAAUGCGGGAAACCGUGAUAAGGGAAUCUCGAGUGCCAGCAUAUAAUGUUGGCUGUCCAGAUGCCUAAAAAGCAUCUGUUAGCAAGGGCCGGGCAAGACCGGUGCCAGCCGCCGCGGUAACACCGGCGGCCCGAGUGGUAACCGCUUUUAUUGGGUCUAAAGGGUCUGUAGCCGGCCAAGUAAGUCCCUUGGGAAAUCUGGCAGCUUAACUGUCAGGCUGCUAGGGGAUACUGCUGGGCUUGGGACCGGGAGAGGUGAGAGGUACCUUGGGGGUAGGGGUGAAAUCUUGUGAUCCUCGGGGGACCACCAGUGGCGAAGGCGUCUCACCAGAACGGGUCCGACGGUAAGGGACGAAAGCUAGGGGCACGAACCGGAUUAGAUACCCGGGUAGUCCUAGCCGUAAACGAUGCUCGCUAGGUGUCAGUCACGGUGCGACCGUGAUUGGUGCCGUAGGGAAGCCGUGAAGCGAGCCACCUGGGAAGUAUGGCCGCAAGGCUGAAACUUAAAGGAAUGGGCGGGGGGGCAC